GAUGAACGCUGGCGGCGUGCUUAACACAUGCAAGUCGAGCGAAGCAUGGUUGAUGUUUUCGGACGGAUAUCGUGACUGAGCGGCGGACGGGUGAGUAACGCGUGGGUAACCUGCCUCACACAGGGGAAUAACAGUUAGAAAUGACUGCUAAUGCCGCAUAAGCGCACGGGACCGCAUGGUCCUGUGUGAAAAACUCCGGUGGUGUGAGAUGGACCCGCGUCUGAUUAGCUUGUUGGUGAGGUAACGGCCCACCAAGGCGACGAUCAGUAGCCGACUUGAGAGAGUGAUCGGCCACAUUGGGACUGAGACACGGCCCAGACUCC
rnacentral:rRNA from 1 species